rnacentral:rRNA from 1 species
UACGUGGGUGGCAAGCGUUGUCCGGAAUCAUUGGGCGUAAAGCGCGCGCAGGCGGUCCCUUAAGUCUGAUGUGAAAGCCCACGGCUCAACCGUGGAGGGUCAUUGGAAACUGGGGGACUUGAGUGCAGAAGAGGAAAGCGGAAUUCCAAGUGUAGCGGUGAAAUGCGUAGAGAUUUGGAGGAACACCAGUGGCGAAGGCGGCUUUCUGGUCUGUAACUGACGCUGAGGCGCGAAAGCGUGGGGAGCAAACAGG